rnacentral:rRNA from 1 species
GCGUCGUGUGGGCGGGCGGCGGGGGUAAUCGCGAGGGUGCAAGGGUUGAGUGGAAUUAGUGGGUGGAAAGAGGGAGUGGGGGGUUCGUGAAGUCGGAUGGGAAAGCCCUGGGGUAAACCUGGUAAGGGCAUUGGAAACUGGCGACCGAGAGUGCGGUAGAGGGUAGUGGAAUUCCCGGUGUAGCAGUGAAAUGCGUAGAGAGCGGGAGGAACAUCCGUGGCGAAGGCGACUACCUGGACCAGCACUGACACUGAGGCACGAAAGCGUGGGGAGCAAACAGGAUUAGAUACCCGUGUAGUC